AGUGAACGCUGGCGGUAGGCUUAACACAUGCAAGUCGAACGGCAGCACAGUAAGAGCUUGCUCUUACGGGUGGCGAGUGGCGGACGGGGGAGGAAUACAUCGGAAUCUACUUUUUCGUGGGGGAUAACGUAGGGAAACUUACGCUAAUACCGCAUACGACCUACGGGUGAAAGCAGGGGAUCUUCGGACCUUGCGCGAUUGAAUGAGCCGAUGUCGGAUUAGCUAGUUGGCGGGGUAAAGGCCCACCAAGGCGACGAUCCGUAGCUGGUCUGAGAGGAUGGUCAGCCACACUGGAACUGAGACACGGUCCAGACUCCUACGGGAGGCAGCAGUGUGGAAUAUUGGACAGUGGGCGCAAGCCUGAUCCAGCCAUACCGCGUGGGUGAAGAAGGCCUUCGGGUUGUGAAGCCCUUUUGUUGGGAAAGAAAAGCAGCAGGUUAAUACCCCGCUGUUCUGACGGUACCCAAAGAAUAAGCACCGGCUAACUUCGUG
rnacentral:rRNA from 1 species